CCUACGGGAGGCAGCAGUGAGGAAUAUUGGUCAAUGGACGGAAGUCUGAACCAGCCAUGCCGCGUGCAGGAAGACGGCUCUAUGAGUUGUAAACUGCUUUUGUACAAGGGUAAACCUGAAUACGUGUAUUCUGCUGAAAGUACUGUACGAAUAAGGAUCGGCUAACUCCGUGCCAGCAGCCGCGGUAAUACGGAGGAUCCAAGCGUUAUCCGGAUUUAUUGGGUUUAAAGGGUGCGUAGGCGGAUUGAUAAGUUAGAGGUGAAAUGUCCGAGCUUAACUCGGGAACUGCCUCUAAUACUGUUGAUCUAGAGAUUAGAUGCGGUAGGCGGAAUGUAUGGUGUAGCGGUGAAAUGCUUAGAGAUCAUACAGAACACCGAUUGCGAAGGCAGCUUACCAAUCUAUAUCUGACGUUGAGGCACGAAAGCGUGGGGAGCAAACAGGAUUAGAUACCCGAGUAGUC
rnacentral:rRNA from 1 species